rnacentral:lncRNA from 1 species
GUGAGGAGAAGGAAGGGGACACGGGCCCUGGGAACUCGCCCCUGCUGAGUUACUCUACUUUUGGCAGCCUGAAGUUCAGGCUCCUGGCCCAGCAUUGCAGGUUCUCCACUGUCAGGGUGGACCCCAGGCUCAGAACCCUCAUCAGCUCAGGGCUCUACCCCCGCCUGGAACCGACCCACAGACCUUCCCUUCCGUCCCUUGGCUCAGGACGCAGGCCAGGGCAAAAGUAAGGGGCACAAGUGGGGAGAAAACCUGUGGAGGUGCCUGCUUGGUGCAGGCUCAGGCAGAGGCUCUGGACAUGACACUUCCCCUUUAACUGACUUAUCACGCCCAACUUCCAGGCUGUGUCAUGCCCAUUAUGCAGAGAAGUGAAAUGAAUCACAGAGAGUUCAUUAACGGGACAAAGCCUCGCAGGGGAACAGGAUUCAGUCGUAGAACUCAGGCCCAAAUGACUCCGCAGCUGCUGGCACACCACGUGUGCAAGUGCAGACACACACACACACACACACACACACAGCCUGCCUGUGCUGCUGAGGAUCGCGAUAAGGACCAAGACCAAGAGAAAGAGUAGCCAAGGGGAGAGGGAAAGUCCUUUGUUGGGACAGUCCUGGUGGCAAACGGCAUUUUGGCUGAGAAACCCCUUAAGUUAGAUUUGACACCAUGACUUGGGGUGGGGGGCACAAGCUUAUCUCAGAGCCAUCAACUCCCCCGCUCUGGGGUCUGGUUAAUCUGUGUCAGGGACACAGCCCUGUGUGCUAAGAGGGAAGCUGGCCUUGUGUAUGGGGCGGGCCGGGCACCCAAGGGCCCCGUGGCCCCCCCUUUUCUUCCCCAGGUGGCUGCCCCGCCCCAGAGGCGCUCCUGCCACCCGCCCCUCCGACGGGGGGUGCCUCCAGCCACUUGUCCACAGCCUCGGGAGUCCCCACAGCAGAGGCAGCCGUGGGAGGAACAUGGAAACGGAGCAAGGGGAGGGACAGGAGCUCUCAGUCCUGCCUUCAGGAGCGCCCAGAGACACGCUUCACAGAACUGGGUCGGGGUGCUAGGGAUCCAGGUCAGGAGGGCCUCGCAGAUGCCCAGAAGGUUCGGAGGAAGCAGCUGCAGUUUCCGGAAUGUGCCAGGCUCCCUGGUGCUUCUGAGCGUCUGCAAGUGUGGCCCCCCUGCCUGAAACACCCCCACCCUCCUGCUGGUCUGGCCACCUCCCAGUCAGCCUUGUCCAGUUACCUUUUCCUGCCUCACUUCCCCACAGAGCGAGUGUGGCUCCUCUCAGCUCUCCCAGCCCCUCACCCUUGAGCCUCUAGUUUGGCAGCUGUCACACGAGCUACAGUCACGACUGGUCUGUCACCCAUUGCAGACGGGGCUCCUGGAAGGGUGAUGCUACGGCUCCCCCGGCUUCUAGCACGGGGCCCAGCACAGAAUGGGAGCUGAGGAAAUGUUUGCAGCAAGAGAUAAAACUGCUUCACAGUGUGUGUUAUGAGUUGAACUGUUUCCCCCAAAAAGAUAUGUUGAAGUCUUAUGACCUGAAUUGUGUUUCUCCAAAAUCCAUAUGUUGAAGCCCUAACCCCUGUACCUCAGGAUGUGACUGCAUUUGGAGAAAGGGCCUUUAAAGAAGUAGUGUAAUUAAGUUAAAAUGAGGUCAUGUGGGUGGGCUGUAAUCCCAUCUGCCUGGAGUCCUUACGAGAAGGGAAGAUAUGGACAUAGCCAUGCCCGGAGGAAAGGCCAGGUGAAGACACGGGGAGGAGACGUUCCUCUGCAAGCCAAGGAGAGAAGCCUCGGAAGAAACCAGCCCUGCGGACCCCUUGGUCGUGGACUUCCAGCUUCCAGAACUGGCAGAAAUGCAUUUCUAUUGUUUAAGCCCCUGGGUCUGCAGUACUUUGUUAUAGCAGUCCCGCAAACGAAUACAAAGUCCUAACCCCCGGUGCCUCCGAAGGACCCUUAUUUGGAACUAGGUCAUUGCCGAUGUGAUAAGUUAAGAUGAUGUCAUACUGGAGUAGGGUGGGCCCUGAUCCAAUAUGAAUGUAUCCUUAUAAAAAGGGGAAAUUUUGACACAGACACACACACAGGGAGACCGCCACGUGGACACGAAGGCAGAGAUUGAGGUGACGUGUCUAGAAGCCCAGGAAUGCCAAAGGUGGCCAGAAAACCACCCAGAGCUGGGGAGGCCUGGAAUAGAGUCUCCGUCACAGCCCCAGCAGGAACCAUCCCUGCUCACACCUUGAUCAGAGACUUUUGGCUUGCAGAACUGCAAGGCAGUGAAUUUCUAUUGUUUCAAGCCACCUAGUUUGUGGUACUUUGUUAGGGCAGCUCUGGCAAACUAACAGAAUAUGGGAGAUUAAAAUAUCAUCCCACUACAAGUUCAUCCCAACAAGGGGUUCUGUCGGCGGCAGCACAAAGCUACCAUGAAAACACCUAAUUAUGAGAAAUGAGCUCCCAGACCCCCCUGCCCGUCACUCCCUGCUCUUAUCAACUUCUGCCCCCUCCACUCACACGGACAACUGGUUUACCUGUCUGUGUCGCCCCCAAGCCAGCCACCCCCAGAACCAUGCUCUGCCCAUUGCUGGGCUCAGUAAAAACUCUCACUUGCGGCUAAAUCACCCAUCCAGAAUCAUACUCUGCUCCCUGAAAUCCCAGACCCAGGCUGCACUGAGCCCUUCCACACGGGUACAAGAGCACAUUUAGACCAAAUUUCAGCAGGUCCAGGAAGGCCCUGGAUGCCAAAGUUGGCACCUUCUGGUGCUUCCCGACAUGCCACCCGUGGCUGACUUGCAUUCUCUGCCUUGGCUGGUACCUGUCCAGCUGCACACCUGAUACGCCCCAGCUCUAAAUAAGGAGAGGAACUAAACCCAGCACUGCCCUGUGGCAAGCUGUGGAGAAGGAAUGGGAGCGGGUGGAGGCGUACCUUCCUGCUCCAUGGACGUGUGGUUAGGAAACACCAUUCCCGGCCAGGAGCAGAAGCUGGGCUGGGGUGAGCCGAAGUCUCGGCCAAGACUCCUUGACCUUUAGGGAGUGCCUGAGACGCUACACAGCCAACAAGCUGCUGGGCCAGGGACAGUUGCAGAACCAGGAUUGGCCUACUUUAGCCCCCUGCCCAGGGCUUGAAUCCCCUCUGCAGUCUCCCUGCUUAGGGGACACCACUGUGUUUGAACACCUCAGCUGAUGUGGGACUGCUGGCAUCUUUCCUGCCUGGACCUGAGAAUGGCUGGCCAAGGCUGAGGCUUGGAGUGGCUCAUUCCCUUCCAAACUUGCCCAUAUCCGUGCAGUGGGCCACAGUUCCUGUCUGGGAGCCCCCCACUCCUGCAGGUCCUCCUCAGCAGCCUUCCCCAUGGCUCUGUGUAAAAUUUCACCCCCACCCCUUUUUCCUGCCAUAUUUCUCUUCUUGUCACUUUCCACCCUCUAAGUCCUGUUUGUGCAUUUAACUGAUAGCUUUUGGUCACCGUCUGUCUCCCCCCGUAGAGAGGCCACCCUGGGAGGGAGGGUUUAUUUGGGGGCUCGGGGUUGCUA